rnacentral:rRNA from 1 species
UAGGGAAUCUUGGACAAUGGGCGAAAGCCUGAUCCAGCCAUGCCGCGUGAGUGAUGAAGGCCUUAGGGUUGUAAAGCUCUUUCGCCAGGGAAGAUAAUGACGGUACCUGGAUAAGAAGCCCCGGCUAACUUCGUGCCAGCAGCCGCGGUAAUACGAAGGGGGCUAGCGUUGUUCGGAAUUACUGGGCGUAAAGCGCACGUAGGCGGCUUUCCAAGUUGGAGGUGAAAUCCCCGGGCUUAACCCGGGAACUGCCUCCAAAACUGAAAGGCUAGAGUCCGAGAGAGGUGAGUGGAAUUUCCAGUGUAGAGGUGAAAUUCGUAGAUAUUGGAAAGAACACCAGUGGCGAAGGCGGCUCACUGGCUCGGUACUGACGCUGAGGUGCGACAGCGUGGG